CAACCCUGUGAACAUACCUAUAACGUUGCCUCGGCGGGAACAGACGGCCCCGUAACACGGGCCGCCCCCGCCAGAGGACCCCCUAACUCUGUUUCUAUAAUGUUUCUUCUGAGUAAACAAGCAAAUAAAUUAAAACUUUCAACAACGGAUCUCUUGGCUCUGGCAUCGAUGAAGAACGCAGCGAAAUGCGAUAAGUAAUGUGAAUUGCAGAAUUCAGUGAAUCAUCGAAUCUUUGAACGCACAUUGCGCCCGCCAGUAUUCUGGCGGGCAUGCCUGUUCGAGCGUCAUUACAACCCUCAGGCCCCCGGGCCUGGCGUUGGGGAUCGGCGGAAGCCCCCUGCGGGCACAACGCCGUCCCCCAAAUACAGUGGCGGUCCCGCCGCAGCUUCCAUUGCGUAGUAGCUAACACCUCGCAACUGGAGAGCGGCGCGGCCACGCCGUAAAACACCCAACUUCUGAAUGUUGACCUCGAAUCAGGUAGGAAUACCCGCUGAACUUAAGCAUA
rnacentral:rRNA from 1 species